UUUGCCACGGUAUGUCAUUGGCUCAUACUUUUAUUCAAGUUUGAAAUAGGUUAAUGAUACUGAAUUUGCCACUUAAUUGUACCUACUGAUUUUUUUGUCUUAUUUUUGGAUCUUAAAAAUAUUGUUAACUUCCAUACAUUAUACUUUUGUGCUUAACUUAUUUGAGUUAGUUUUAAUCAUGAUUUUGAUUUGUUUUAAUGGUUGCACCUACAGCUGCAACUAGAGUUAAAGCUUGUUUAAGAUACUUGUUGAUGUAGGAAACUAAGAAGUUAUUAAUGUGAUUGGAAUAAGAAGGUUAACCAUCUAAGUUGUUGUCAAAUUUUAUUGAAGAGUGCUUUUAUGUAAGUCUAUUUCCACUAGACACUACUUUGAAUUUGGGGCACUUGUAUAUGAAGAACUUUCCUACAAGCUUAAGGGUAAAUACAAGGUUCCAAAGCUCUUUCAUUUGGCUUAUGGUUGAUUUUGAUAAUAUUCAAGUUUAUCGCAAUGAGAAAGUCGGGACUUUCAUAAUGUAUAUAUAAAAACUGGCAGGAGAUAUGUUAAAUGUACUAGUUACAAGGUAUUUGUUCUUCUUAUAGAGAACUAGUUGGUGUACAUUAGUUACACUAAAUCUUGCUUACCAUAUACUGUAAUGUUAUUAAGCUUUUUAUUCAUGAUGGUUAUGUGUACGUUGUAUUAAAGUAUGGCUGCAACUUACUUUUGAGAUUGAACAAGUUUGAACAUAGUCAAUUGACAUCAAUUUU